rnacentral:rRNA from 1 species
GAUGAACGCUGGCGGCGUGCCUAAUACAUGCAAGUCGAGCGAACGGACGAGAAGCUUGCUUCUCUGAUGUUAGCGGCGGACGGGUGAGUAACACGUGGAUAACCUACCUAUAAGACUGGGAUAACUUCGGGAAACCGGAGCUAAUACCGGAUAAUAUUUUGAACCGCAUGGUUCAAAAGUGAAGGACGGUCUUGCUGUCACUUAUAGAUGGAUCCGCGCUGCAUUAGCUAGUUGGUAAGGUAACGGCUUACCAAGGCAACGAUGCAUAGCCGACCUGAGAGGGUGAUCGGCCACACUGGAACUGAGACACGGUCCAGACUCCUACGGGAGGCAGCAGUAGGGAAUCUUCCGCAAUGGGCGAAAGCCUGACGGAGCAACGCCGCGUGAGUGAUGAAGGUCUUCGGAUCGUAAAACUCUGUUAUUAGGGGAGAACAUAUGUGUAAGUAACUGUGCACAUCUUGACGGUACCUAAUCAGAAAGCCACGGCUAACUACGUG